rnacentral:lncRNA from 1 species
UGAGCUGCGAGAACAACCAAACAACUAAAACGGUCCUUACAAAUAUGAUCAAAUCUGUUGGAAGAAACUACAUGGAUGUGGUAGCACUUAUACCGUGUAUCAAAUUAAACGAGGCAAGAAUACUUCAGCAUUCCCCCAAAUCGUCAAGGAGUAAAAUCAUCAUUACAUCCUAACUUUGCUCAUAUAAAAGAAAUCCACCAUAAAGAGUCAAGAAAGAGCUCAGAAACUACAAUAGAGGCAAUAGUUUGAUCAAGGUCACAAAUGGAAAAGCAUUCUUGGCAAAAUUUCAACCAUCCUCUUCAACGUGAUGGGGAAAAAUUUGGUUUAUCAACUCAAUGAAAACUGAAAACAAGCUCAAAUCUAGAAAGUUGGUAAAAUGUUGAGGGUGUUUAAGCUAUGAACAUUAAUUUUUCUGGGGUAUUUAAAAGUAAAUUAUAUUGCAGCUUAUUUAGUAUUGAUUUUUUAUUAUUUGUCCCAUUAUGAAUAAAAAUUUACUGAUUUUAACUCAUACAAUCCGUAUUGGAAAACCGUAUUAUUAUAUUUUUAUUUUUUUUUAAAUAACAUAUUUGUGAACUUCUUCUUAGUCAUCCCUUGGAGCACGCGUUUUCUAGUCCAUGGCUCUAGAGAAGAAGUUUGCAUUCUUUUCAAUAUUUUACAAGUUGUCAUGCAAAAAUUUUUAUUCAUUCAAUGUAUUUUAAUUAUAUUAUCGGAUUGAAUAAAAGUAGAUAAUAUUA